GGUAAGUGGGCUUCAGGCCCAGGCUGCAGUACUGUUUGUUGAUUUCUAUGAAAUACAGUGAUAUUGUGCUGCAUCGAAUAUAGAGUUUGUUUUCCUAGUUGGUUCACUAGUCUGUGUCUGAAAGGCUGCAACUGCCGUGAUGUUCAAGCUCAUGGCUUCUCGGGAUUUUUCCCAGGUUCAGUCUCUUCUAUCUAGAGUCACAUUUCACUGUGUGGAAAGAGGGAUGUGUAGCAAGUUGUUGAAAUCUUAUUCGGAGCGUCAGAAAGCAGAAGCAAAGGAAAUGACUAAUAAAUCAGAAACUGCACACAGCACCUGACAACUGCAGAGGGUUCGGAAGUAUGGAGGAAGGAGCAGUUAUACCUGACUCAGGAGAGGGAGUCGUUUCACGUUUAUAAGUGUUCUCUCAAGCACUAAUUGGCAAGUACAAUCUUUAAAUCCACAGAUCUCUAACUAUAAGAAAAGAAAAAGAAACUAUCAUGAGUGACUUUAUAAAACUGCUACCAAAACCAUCUAACUUGCUAAUAAAGCUUAGAGUCUCUUUGUUUCUAAUUGGUAUUGAUAAUGAUUAAAAACACAUUCCAUUUGAACUUUCUCCAUAGUCUUCUCCUGCCUGAUUAUAUAUGAUGCAUUACUGGGUAAAGAAUGAAUAACAAAUAACAUGUAGAGAGAUAUAGUUUGUGAGAAAUACCUUUCAUUAAAAGAGUGGCCAUUUCUUGACAAAUAUCCUGCCUUUGGAUUUAAAAAAAAUAUAUAUGCCAUGUGGCAACUUAAAAUUAUCAUAGAAAUUAGUAGUAGAAAGGAGCUAUUAAGUCCCAUCUGGUCCCUCCCCCGGGGCCAGACUGCAUCCUUCCCUCCUGUACACUCUCCUGCUUUGUCCAGGCUGGUGGUUUUUGGGGGGGGGGUGUGGGGGGUUGGAGGCAGCCUUCUCUGCGGAGGCUUCCAGAACACUCCAAACGAAAUCUAUAGCUGCUGUGGUUCUGCCUCCAGCACGGACUUCUUAUUUUACAUAAACUGCAACUUAGAGGAGCUUUAUAGCAAAAAUGAGAAAGACCUGUCCAGCAAUUGGUCUGUCAGUUAGCAUAUGGGCUGAGACAAGCUACACACCUGUCAGUCAAGGAUCCUGGAUCAAGGCAACAAAAGUCCUUUGAAACAAGAAAAUUCUACUUUGUAGCAGUCCACUGUGAUUUUUUUUUAAUCAUGUCACCCUCUCACUUAUCAAUCAUAUCACAAAAUAAAAGCUUUGUCAUUUUACUGAUCAAUAAUGAGGUACCAUUGGAGCAGUCAUAAAAAAAAACAGUAUUUUUAAAAGUUGAAAAGGUAAUGAUCAGAAUCUCCUUAAAAGCCUCAAGGAAGUCAUAUCAGGAUUGUAGGUGCCAGAACCCUAAAAUAGCUCAUAAAAUGGAUGAUUUUUCAUCUUAAAGGAUGACUUAGUAUAAAAAGGAGAAAAAAUAAUAACAAAGCCUAUUAUACUCAUCAUUAUCAAGCUUUAAAUAUUUUUCUUUUAUAUUUAAUUUAUUUAUGCUAAUCAAAUAAAUGAUCUAAAACAGUAAACCAGAUAAUAUGCUCAGUUUUUUUAUCCAGAUAGAAAACUUGUAAGGAAUACCUCAUGCUCAUUUAGUGACUAUUUCUAUAUGCAAACUGCCAAUAUUCUGGUCAGAAAUAAAGACUCUAAUAAGAAUGAGGAAAUGAGAGGGAGAAAGGGGGAGAUUUCUGUACUUUAAACAUCUUCACUAUGUUUUUUAACUGUAUCCAUGUGCCUGUGCCAGCUAUUAAUGACCAGCUGCUCCCUUCAUGUUCACUGGGACACUGAAGUUCACAGUGCACUUUGGGGAACACCUGAACUGCUUCAGUGUCAUAGCUGAUGUCUGGAACUUGCUGCUUUAUUGACAUAAGUCUGAUAUUUGAAUUUUGAAAAACACUAAAUACUGUAACCAGUCCUAAUUUUGAGUACUAAUUGCAUUUAUUCAUUUACCAAACAAACAUUUCCUGUGGACUGUCUGCCAAGUUCAGUGCUAGACGCUGGGGCUACUGCAUCACCUCAGGGACCCAGGAGCCCAGUCCUUGUUCACACAUUUCAGAGAUAAUACCCAAGGAGUGCACAGGCUAACUAGUCCCCUUCUCUUCUGUGAACAAGUGAAACUGAAAGUUGGGGUGAACAAGAGUCAAGACAAGAGGGGCCUCUCCAAGGAGGACAUACCUGGGCAGAACCUGGAGACUUAGAAGGAAGCUGUCUUUAGGAGCAUGGGUGCACAAGCCUGAGUGCGUUUGGGAGGUUCACAUUGUUUUAUGUUAGUCCUGUACAAGUUUAGGUCCAUCAGGGUGCCUGUGAUGAACCCAAAAGUCAGCUGUGGUGGGAAUGGCAUUCUAGGUGAUCCCCAAAAGAAGUUUCUCAGAGUUCUCAUCUUAGAACAGCAUGCUAAAGGACCCAGCCAGGGCUGCCUGGUAGACAGUGGAUAGGCAAGGAGUGUGGGGGCCAACACAUCCUAUAAGCCCGUGCAGACCCCUGGGGGCUGAAGAGAUCAGCGGUGCCUUGCUGUGAAGUGCCAGUGGUUUAAUCUGAGCACUGGGGAAUGAGCAUGUGGCGAGCCUUUUAAAAUAGAAGAGAAAGUUCCUUGAAAGGUCCUGAAGAAUAAGCACUCUCCAUUUUCCUGCUGUCUUCCAAUUUAAACUGUUCUUACAUUUGUGCUUAUUAUCACUCACAGUAAGGGAGUGUUAAAUAUUGUUUGCAGUAAUUUUUUCAUCUAAAUUAUAUAAUACAAAUUUGAUAGCAAAUCUCUAAGCUUUCAACUCAUCACCUGGAAUCAAUAGAAUUUUGCAUUUCAUAUACCAUAGGUCAUGUGUGCAUGUAUAUUUUGUUCUUAGU
rnacentral:lncRNA from 1 species